rnacentral:rRNA from 1 species
CAAUAGCGUAUAUUAAAGUUGUUGCGGUUAAAAAGCUCGUAGUUGGAGUUCUGCCAGGUGCCGCCUGUCCGCCCCAGUGGUGAGUACGUGGCGCGCAUUUGGCCCUUUCAAGGGGAGCGUAUCUGCACUUUAUUGUGUGGUGCGGGAUCCUUGACUUUUACUUUGAGGAAAUAGGAGUGUUCCAAGCAGGCUCUCGUCGUGCACAGCUCAGCAUGGAAUAAUAGCAUUGGACCUCGAUUCUAAGCUGUUGGUUGCCAGAAGCGAGGUAAUGAUGAAGAGGGAUAGUUGGGGGCAUUCGUAUUUAACUGUCAGAAGUGAAAUUCUUGGAUUUGUUAAAGACGGACUACUGCGAAAGCAUCUGCCAUGGAUGUUUUCAUUGA